ACGAACGCUGGCGGCGUGCUUAACACAUGCAAGUCGGACGGAAAGGCCCUGCUUUUGUGGGGUGCUCGAGUGGCGAACGGGUGAGUAACACGUGAGUAACCUGCCCUUGACUUUGGGAUAACUUCAGGAAACUGGGGCUAAUACCGGAUAGGAGCUCCUGCUGCAUGGUGGGGGUUGGAAAGUUUCGGCGGUUGGGGAUGGACUCGCGGCUUAUCAGCUUGUUGGUGGGGUAGUGGCUUACCAAGGCUUUGACGGGUAGCCGGCCUGGGAGGGUGACCGGCCACAUUGGGACUGAGAUACGGCCCAGACUCCUACGGGAGGCAGCAGUGGGGAAUAUUGCACAAUGGGCGGAAGCCUGAUGCAGCAACGCCGCGUGCGGGAUGACGGCCUUCGGGUUGUAAACCGCUUUCGCCUGUGACGAAGCGUGAGUGACGGUAAUGGGUAAAGAAGCACCGGCUAACUACGUG
rnacentral:rRNA from 1 species